GCCAGACUCCUACGGGAGGCAGCAGUGGGGAAUAUUGGACAAUGGGGGGAACCCUGAUCCAGCGACGCCGCGUGAGUGAAGAAGUAUUUCGGUAUGUAAAGCUCUAUCAGCAGGGAAGAAAGAAAUGACGGUACCUGACUAAGAAGCCCCGGCUAACUACGUGCCAGCAGCCGCGGUAAUACGUAGGGGGCGAGCGUUAUCCGGAUUCACUGGGUGUAAAGGGAGCGUAGACGGCCAUGCAAGCCAGGGGUGAAAGCCCGGGGGCCAACCCCGGGACUGCCCUUGGAACUGGAUGGCUGGAGUGCGGGAGGGGCAGGCGGAAUUCCUGGUGUAGCGGUGAAAUGCGUAGAUAUCAGGAGGAACGCCGGCGGCGAAGGCGGCCUGCUGGACCGCGACUGACGUUGAGGCUCGAAAGCGUGGGGAGCGAACAGGAUUAGAUACCCGUGUA
rnacentral:rRNA from 1 species